rnacentral:rRNA from 1 species
GAUGAACGCUGGCGGCGUGCCUAAUACAUGCAAGUCGAGCGAACGGACGAGAAGCUUGCUUCUCUGAUGUUAGCGGCGGACGGGUGAGUAACACGUGGGUAACCUACCUAUAAGACUGGGAUAACUUCGGGAAACCGGAGCUAAUACCGGAUGAUAUUUUGAACCGCAUGGUUCAAAAGUGAAAGACGGUCUUGCUGUCACUUGUAGAUGGAUCCGCGCUGCAUUAGCUAGUUGGUAAGGUAACGGCUUACCAAGGCAACGAUGCAUAGCCGACCUGAGAGGGUGAUCGGCCACACUGGAACUGAGACACGGUCCAGACUCCUACGGGAGGCAGCAGUAGGGAAUCUUCCGCAAUGGGCGAAAGCCUGACGGAGCAACGCCGCGUGAGUGAUGAAGGUCUUCGGAUCGUAAAACUCUGUUAUUAGGGAAGAACAUAUGUGUAAGUAACUGUGCACAUCUUGACGGUACCUAAUCAGAAAGCCACGGCUAACUACGUG